rnacentral:rRNA from 1 species
AGUGAACGCUGGCGGUAUGCCUAACACAUGCAAGUCGAACGGAAGCACAGUAAGAGCUUGCUCUUACGGGUGGCGAGUGGCGGGCGGGUGAGGAAUACAUCGGAAUCUACUUUUUCGUGGGGGAUAACGUAGGGAAACUUACGCUAAUACCGCAUACGACCUACGGGUGAAAGCAGGGGAUCUUCGGACCUUGCGCGAUUGAAUGAGCCGAUGUCGGAUUAGCUAGUUGGCUGGGUAAAGGCCCACCAAGGCGACGAUCCGUAGCUGGUCUGAGAGGAUGAUCAGCCACACUGGAACUGAGACACGGUCCAGACUCCUACGGGAGGCAGCAGUGGGGAAUAUUGGACAAUGGGCGAAAGCCUGAUCCAGCCAUACCGCGUGGGUGAAGAAGGCCUUCGGGUUGUAAAGCCCUUUUGUUGGGAAAGAAAAGCAGCAGGUUAAUACGCCGCUGUUCUGACGGUACCCAAAGAAUAAGCACCGGCUAACUUCGUG